GAUUCUACCACCUCUGUGAACCGUUGACCUCCGGGUUAAUAAUCAAACAUCAGUGUAACGAACGUAAGAGUAUCUUAAUUAAACAAAACUUUUAACAACGGAUCUCUUGGCUCUCGCAUCGAUGAAGAACGCAGCGAAAUGCGAUAAGUAAUGUGAAUUGCAGAAUUCAGUGAAUCAUCGAAUCUUUGAACGCACCUUGCGCCUUUUGGUAUUCCGAAAGGCAUGCCUGUUUCAGUGUCAUGAAAUCUCAAUCUAAUAUGUUUUCUGAACAUGUUAGGCUUGGACUUGGGUGUCUGCCAGCAAUGGCUCACCUCAAAUGACUUAGUGGAACAUCCCACAUCAGUGUUAGACGUAAUAAGUUUCGUCUCUCCUUGUGGUGAUGACUGCUCAAAACCUGCCAUCGCGCACCUUUUGACUUUGACCUGAAAUCAGGUAGGGCUACCCGCUGAACUUAAGCAUAUCAA
rnacentral:rRNA from 1 species